ensembl:rRNA 5S_rRNA 5S ribosomal RNA
GGCCACAGCCGUAUCACCCUGCCGCCCAAGACCGGUUACUCACUGAAGCUAAGCAGGGCUGAGCCUGGUUAUUACCUGGAUGGGAGACCACUAGGGAACAGUAGUUUCUGUUGGAA